UACUUUAUUUAUAAAGUCUAAUAAUUUAAAUUAUAUUUGAUAUAUUAACUUUAAAAUUUCUAUUAAAGAAUGUUGAGCAGAUGGCAUAUGUAUGUAAAUACAUCUGAGUACUUAGAAUGCUUAAUACAGUACAAAUAUAAUUUCAAGAAAAAAACUUAAAAUACCACCCUUUUGAUUUCGCAUUUUCUCACUUUAGUGCCCUGUGGUUCAAAAUGUAUCACUUUCGUACCCCUGAUUUUUUUUUUUUCUCUUUUUGUUAUUCCCUUGACUAAUUUUUUUUUCGUUCAAUCAGUGACAAAGUUAAAACUAAAAGAUAAUGAAGUAAAUAUUCUACAAACCAUAGGUGGGGUAUUUGAAUUUUUUUUUUUAAUAUAAUUUAACGAAAAGUUAACAGAGAGACUGACGAAAAGAGAAAAUUGAAAUCAUAUGGUACUAAAUUGAUACACUUUAAAUCAUAGGGUACUAAAAUGAAAAAGUGCAAAACCGCAGGGUGAUA
rnacentral:lncRNA from 1 species